rnacentral:rRNA from 1 species
CCUACGGGGGGCAGCAGUGGGGAAUAUUGGACAAUGGGGGCAACCCUGAUCCAGCCAUGCCGCGUGUGUGAAGAAGGCCCUCGGGUUGUAAAGCACUUUCAGUGAGGAAGAACGCCUGGUGGUUAAUACCCAUCAGGAAAGACAUCACUCACAGAAGAAGCACCGGCUAACUCCGUGCCAGCAGCCGCGGUAAUACGGAGGGUGCGAGCGUUAAUCGGAAUUACUGGGCGUAAAGCGCGCGUAGGUGGCUUGAUAAGCCGGUUGUGAAAGCCCCGGGCUCAACCUGGGAACGGCAUCCGGAACUGUCAAGCUAGAGUGCAGGAGAGGAAGGUAGAAUUCCCGGUGUAGCGGUGAAAUGCGUAGAGAUCGGGAGGAAUACCGGUGGCGAAGGCGGCCUUCUGGACUGACACUGACACUGAGGUGCGAAAGCGUGGGUAGCAAACAGGAUUAGAUACCCUAGUAGU